AGACAUCCUUUUUACGUGUUUUUGGGGUCGUGCAUGGUAUCCACUCGUCAAUGUUAGUGGCCCCCCCCCCUGAGUUGUGACAGUAAGCACCUUACAGGUGCCAUAUGAGCUUCUCUGAUAAAUCUGAAAAAAUUAAAGAAAUCUGUAAGCAAUCAUCCCAAAAUUUUGUACUAAAAACUUAAAAGGAAUCUGUAUAUGAAAUUGUCCUUAAUUUUGUCAUAAUAAAUAUUUUAAAAACACUCUAUAUAAUAAACAUGGUCUAAAAUUUGUGCACUCAUGUAAUUUUGACUCCUGUACUAAGAAGAUGUCAGUGGCUCAGUGCGAAAGUUUUGCAGCUAUAUGGUCACCAGUCUGCCACCGCCUGAUGUCGCGAAAGCAUACAUGAGAAAAAUCCUUGCUCGAAGUACCCAUCAUGAACAAUACCAUAUCAAAAGAAUACAAAAACAUUUUUUUUUUAACUUUCAAGAGUAUAGGUGAAAUACAAAUUGCCUGAAUGUAACAAUUUAUGAAUCAUAUGCUCAUAAAGGUCAUGUGUGUCAUUGAUCUCCUUAUUGUAUAACAAUUUUUUUUGGACGGGGCAGUGCAGUGCCGAUCAAAGCAAGCUGAUUUGCAUCUUUGGGGCAAGUCAAAAUCUGCAUCACAGUUAGCGCAAAGUAAAAUGGAAAGUAGGCCUGAGUCGAAACGGUUCCCGACCGGGCCCCGCCCGUCGCCCUAAAACCCGGUUUUACUUUUUCCGGUUUCGGGUUUUCCACAUACAAUAACUGCCCAUAAAAUCCUUUAUCAUUCCUCAGUGUUUUGAUUUCAAACAUUCUCCUACCUUCUCAAAUCACUGUCAUGUACUUUGUGACCAGUUAACCGCCUUUGUGCUCAUGCGAAAGCAGCGAAACUUGUGAACUUCAUGACCAGAAGACAGAAGUAUGUCAACGUCAAAUCAAUUUGGAAGAGCCGCGCCGAUCUACGGCCAGCUGUGCCAGCCUUGCCUACGCCACAUCGCUGGCGCGCCUACCGUACCCACGCCUAUAUCUCUGGCCUGAGCACGCAUUUCAAAUCUAAUGCGAAUAAUGGAAGAAUUUAUCAUUCCAUUUGACAAUCAAUUGCAAUGACUUUUGAACUUGAAGGGCCAGACGUCUAAACAAAUUUGGUUUUAGUUAAAAUAGACUUACGACGGCCUAUGGGAAGUUUUGUAAUCAUGCUUCUCGUCGAAGAAAAUGGAAUAUGAUAAAUUCGGACGAGACGGAAGAAGAGUAUAAAAGAAAAAAUAAAAAAUCUGGGACCCUGGGUCGUGUAACUUUUUAUAUUACCCCUGUUAUUCAAUUGAGGAAAUAUUACAUCACCUUUAGAUCGUCUUGCCCCCUCCCCCAUCAAAAUACCCUGGCGCCGCCCCUGGGUAAUAUAAUUAUGUGACGCCGACUGUGAAUUUGUUUGAGUCUGUUUUUAGUUUGUUUCUUCAUCAAAACAUGUCCUUGUGUUUCCCUAUUUUUAGAAUCUCCCCUGUAAUAACUCUUUCUCUGUGCACCUCUGCAGGCCUAUCAUUUCCUCUUGUCUUCUUUGUUUUUCCUUCUUUUUUUAAAAUAAACUUUCUGCCUUUCUCUCUACCUGGCACUUCCAUACAUACCUAUAUUUUACACUUCACUUCUUUCACUGAAAUUCAGUCCAGCGGCUCCAGCCUUUACUCUCUUCCUUUCUUCAGGGCCUAUCUACUAUUACCUAUCUACUACAUUUCUUUGAUAAACUAUUAUUAAACAAUAUGAUCAACUCAAAAGUGCCAAGUAGACAAGUACAGAUUUUUUUUUCUCUCUCUCUCUCUCAGUCGCUCUCUCUUUCUUUCUUUCUUUUUUUUUUUUUUUGAAAGUGCCCUAUGUUAUGGUCUGGCAGAGGGUUUAUCUAAUAGUCCUUUCCAACUUAUAAUAGGAUGAAGGAUUAUAAUGAUAAGCAUCGGAAAAAAAAAACACAUUCCACGGUGAAAGUUUCCCAUUCCCCGAUCGCACUAUCAGCCUUAAUUAAAAUGGGAGGUUGUCUUAAUAAACUGGUUUAUCUUGAUAGACAGCUUUAUCUUGAAUUCUUGAUAAACUUGUGUUCAUGAAAAUGCUCACUUCUAGUCCAUUGUCAUUUCACUUUCUGACAUUGGCGUGGUCAGUCUUAUAUAAUAUUUGUUUCAUUGCACUCUACGUCUUCAUUUGAGUUAAUUUCGUUCAUAAUAUUCUACUGAGUUUGAACUUUGAAGCGGCACAAUGCCUAGCAAGGUGUGGAAAGUGUUUCGCAAGUCGUCUGACACUUCAGCGACCUGUAAUAUUUGUGAUCGCGUCUUUGCGUACAAAGGGGGCUCGACGAGUAGUCUGCUUGGCCAUAUUAAGAACUUUCACCCGGCCAGUCUGGAGGAGCCUGAUGCUGCAAAGCAAACGAGAUUGGCCUUUUCUCGCAAGUGUGACCCAAGAAAGACUGCUGCCAUAUCGGAACGAGUAGCAAGAAUGAUUGCUGAAGAUGGCCUCCCUAUUAGUCUGGUUGAAGGGAAGGGAUUCAUAUCCCUUAUGAAGUACAUUUAGCUAGAUUAUACGCUACCUACUAGAAAAACUGUUGUUAAUAUCCUGGACAAAAUGAUGAGUGACAAAAAGGGAAAGGUGAAGCAAGAUCUUCACAAGAGUGCCGCAAUAGCACUAACAACGGAUUGUUGGACAAGUCAUGCACAGGAGGGCUAUAUGACUGUCACAGCACACGGCCUGA